GUUGUUGGUGAGGUAACGGCCCACCAAGCCUUUAACCGGUACGGGCCGUGGGAGCGGUAGCCCGGAGAUGGGCACUGAGACAAGGGCCCAGGCCCUACGGGGCGCAGCAGUCGCGAAAACUUCGCAAUAAGCGAAAGCUUGACGGGGCCAUCCCGAGUGCCAUCUGCUGAGGAUGGCUUUUACCCAGUAUAGAUAGCUGGGAGAAUAAGGAGAGGGCAAGUCUGGUGUCAGCCGCCGCGGUAAUACCAGCUCUCCGAGUUGUAGGGAUGUUUAUUGGGCCUGAAGCAUCCGUAGCCGGCUGGACAAGUCCCCUGUUAAAUCCAGCGACCAAUCGUUGGUCUGCGGGGGAUACUGUCCGGCUAGGGGGCGGGAGAGGCCGUCGGUAUUCUUGGGGUAGGGGUGAAAUCCUAUAAUCCCAGGAGGACCACCAGUGGCGAAGGCUGUCGGCUAGAACGCGCCCGACGGUGAGGGAUGAAAGCUGGGGGAGCGAACCGGAUUAGAUACCCGGGUAGUCCCAGCUGUAAACGAUGCAGGCUAGGUGUUAGGGCGGCUACGUGCCGCUCUAGUGCCGCAGGGAAGCUGUUAAGCCUGCCGCCUGGGGAGAACGGCCGCAAGCUGAACA
rnacentral:rRNA from 1 species